rnacentral:rRNA from 1 species
CCUACGGGGGGCAGCAGUGGGGAAUAUUGGACAAUGGGGGCAACCCUGAUCCAGCCAUGCCGCAUGUGUGAAGAAGGCCCUCGGGUUGUAAAGCACUUUCAGUGAGGAAGAACGCCUGGUGGUUAAUACCCAUCAGGAAAGACAUCACUCACAGAAGAAGCACCGGCUAACUCCGUGCCAGCAGCCGCGGUAAUACGGAGGGUGCGAGCGUUAAUCGGAAUUACUGGGCGUAAAGCGCGCGUAGGUGGCUUGAUAAGCCGGUUGUGAAAGCCCCGGGCUCAACCUGGGAACGGCAUCCGGAACUGUCAAGCUAGAGUGCAGGAGAGGAAGGUAGAAUUCCCGGUGUAGCGGUGAAAUGCGUAGAGAUCGGGAGGAAUACCAGUGGCGAAGGCGGCCUUCUGGACUGACACUGACACUGAGGUGCGAAAGCGUGGGUAGCAAACAGGAUUAGAUACCCCAGUAGUC